AGAGUUUGAUCAUGGCUCAGGGUGAACGCUGGCGGUAUGCCUAAGACAUGCAAGUCGCACGCUCCAGUUUCGGCUGGAGAGUGGCGGACGGGUGAGUAACACGUGGGAGACGUACCCUCAAGUGGGGGAAAACCAGGGGAAACCCUGGCUAAUCCCCCAUGUGAACCCCCGCUCUGGCGGGUGUUCAAAGCUACGGCGCUUGGGGAUCGGCCCGCGGCGCAUCAGGUAGUUGGUGGGGUAAUGGCCUACCAAGCCGACGACGCGUAGCUGGUCUGAGAGGACGACCAGCCGCAGGAGCACUGAGACACGGGCUCCACUCCUACGGGAGGCAGCAGUUAGGAAUCUUCGGCAAUGGGCGCAAGCCUGACCGAGCGAUACCGCUUGAAGGAUGAAGCCCUUCGGGGUGUAAACUUCUGAACUCGGGACGAUGAUGACGGUACCGAGGUAAUAGCACCGGCUAACUCCGUGCCAGCAGCCGCGGUAAUACGGAGGGUGCGAGCGUUACCCGGAUUUACUGGGCGUAAAGGGCGUGUAGGCGGUCCUUCAAGUCCGAUGCUAAAGACUGGGGCUCAACCCCAGGGCUGCGUUGGAUACUGGGGGGCUAGACGGUCGGAGGGGGCAGCGGAAUUUCCGGAGUAGCGGUGAAAUGCGCAGAUACCGGAAGGAACGCCCAUAGCGAAGGCAGCUGCCUGGACGACUUGUGACGCUGAGGCGCGAAAGCGUGGGGAGCAAACCGGAUUAGAUACCCGGGUAGUCCACGCCCUAAACCAUGAGUGCUGGGUGUCCGGCUUCUGCCGGGCGCCGUAGCUAACGCGCUAAGCACUCCGCCUGGGAGGUACGCACGCAAGUGUGAAACUCAAAGGAAUUGGC
rnacentral:rRNA from 1 species